UGGAAGUAAAAAGUCGUAACAAGGUCUCCGUUGGUGAACCAGCGGAGGGAUCAUUGCUGGAACGCGCCCCAGGCGCACCCAGAAACCCUUUGUGAACUUAUACCUUUUGUUGCCUCGGCGCAUGCUGGUCUCUAGUAGGCCCCUCACCCCGGUGAGGAGACGGCACGCCGGCGGCCAAGUUAACUCUUGUUUUUACACUGAAACUCUGAGAAAAAACACAAAUGAAUCAAAACUUUCAACAACGGAUCUCUUGGUUCUGGCAUCGAUGAAGAACGCAGCGAAAUGCGAUAAGUAAUGUGAAUUGCAGAAUUCAGUGAAUCAUCGAAUCUUUGAACGCACAUUGCGCCCUCUGGUAUUCCGGAGGGCAUGCCUGUUCGAGCGUCAUUUCAACCCUCAAGCAUUGCUUGGUGUUGGGGCACUGCUUUUAACGAAGCAGGCCCUGAAAUCUAGUGGCGAGCUCGCCAGGACCCCGAGCGCAGUAGUUAAACCCUCGCUUUGGAAGGCCCUGGCGGUGCCCUGCCGUUAAACCCCCAACU
rnacentral:rRNA from 1 species